AAAAAAAUAUGUAAAUGACUUUAUUUAUCAUUGCUGUCAAUUUUCGAGUUACUGUGGAAGCCAUGUUGUAACGUUGAAGAUAAGAAUUUGUAAGUAACCACCCAUUCAGAUCAAGAUCUAGUAAAUGAAGGAUGCCUACGGAUUUAUGAAAUUAAGGAUAUAUACAUUCUUUCAAUGAUGCUUCAUAACAAUAGCCGUGUUUGAUAGGAUGUACCGGAGCUUCAAUAUUUGUUCAUUCUUCUCGGAGUCAUGGACCGUUCCUUGACUACCGUGGACGUUUAAAUGAGCAGCAGAAUACAAGUUGGAUCAAAGACUUAUGCAACAUGGGACAAUCUUUUUUUAAGUGACCAGGUUUUCUACAAUGAUGACAUGACAUGGAGGAUUUUGUAUUCUUUUACGGAAUUCUGUGGUUCAAUUGUUUAAUAUAUUUAAUAUUUAAUAGUAUCUCUGAAAUUUGCUUAGUUUAUUCAUUUCAUCUUAAAGCUGAUUUUCCGAGGAACUUGACGAUUUUUUGUAGUCUUUGGCUCUUUUGUGUAGUAGUUUCUAUAUUUUCUAAUUAGUAUUGAAAUGGAAUUAUUCUUAAAAUUGUUCUAUGGGAAUUCAGUUACGUCCCUUGUCAUUUUUUUCUCCUAUUUAUUGCUGUUUCCUUUUUUCAUAUCUUUGGAAUAAACCAAAUAAAAUAAUAAUUGUGGUUAUUUUAAAAUCUUUGAACAACUAUUACCUGGGAGAAGUAGAAAAGCCAUAUUUUUAUCAACAAACAUGUUCAGGAGAAUCUUCGCGAGCCCUACAUGUGUUUUGUUUACAGUAAAUACGCAUGCGUAAUAGUAUAGAAGGCUGACCCCGUAACACGUUGCGAUGUAUUUAUGUGAUAGGUUAUACGUAAUUAUUAAUUUUAAUGAAAUAAUUAGAUUUAUUUAAUGGAGAUUUUUGUAAUUUUCUGAAAGUUUAUACAUUCAUGAGUAGUACAAAAAUACUGAACACGAUGGAAAAAAAUUUCAAGUCGUUUUUUUGGAGUUGAUUUUAAUCAACUCUCCUAUGCAGUUACUCAGACAAACCGAAAGUGAAACAGUGGUUGGACCUCAGCACAAAUCAUCGCUGCUGACAAGACUUAGUUCUUGAAAAUAAUUGAUAAAUUCGAUGUAAUGUAUGCUAAAGCAUUGUUUUCAAGAAAACUUAUUUAUAAAUACCUUGAAAAUAGUCAGAUUUUAAAUGGUACGAACAAUUUAGAUACUUUUUGUAGUCGUAUGUAUUCCUACGCCAGAGUUCAAUAUAGUCUCGUUCAACUCGACGCUCGUCUGUCUCCGUAAAUCUCCGACAAGCAGAGAGUCUCUCUUGCUUGUCGGAGAUUUACG